rnacentral:rRNA from 1 species
AUCAGUAUACGAACAGAUUUUCUAAUUCGGUACGUGCAGAUACAUAUUUACAUAAAAUAUGUACUUUGACGCGUAUCGAGUAAUUUGGUCAAUAUCAAAUAAACUACAACUGAAUGAUGUACCUAUUGGCAUCAUUAAGAUCUCGAUUAUGUACGGUUUUUCCGGGCUGGCAUACCUUCCCAACAUAAAUAAUCUAUUUUUUGGUUAGAGCGUUCUCAAACACCACUAAGUAUUAUUGACAAGUUUAGCGUACGGCGUUCCACCGCUAUCUAGUAAGUUUAAAGACGGGAUAGUCGAGAGCCGCCACCACAUCACCUGAUGGCACCGUAAUUGCCCAUUGCCUCUUAAUCCCAAGCUAAGGCCUCUCCCUCGGACUCUUUACCGAUGGUGUAGGUUCCUUCCGUCGUCCGCGCAUUUAAUGGGUUAGGACUGUGUCCCUCCAUCACUGUUAUUUAUUGUUACGGCCCGAUAAAAAUCAGACCGUUAACCUUACUCUUGUUAAAUUUAGGGAAUAGCUCCUAGUUAA